rnacentral:misc_RNA from 1 species
UUUGCUACAGCCCACAUCCA